CCCUGUCAGUGGUACAGGUGGUUAGUCCCAGGCAGGGCAGGUGACUGUUUGUUGUUUUCCCUGUCAGUGGUACAGGUGGUUAGUCCCAGGCAGGGCAGGUGACUGUUUGUUGUUUUCCCUGUCAGUGGUACAGGUGGUUAGUCCCAGGCAGGGCAGGUGACUGUUUGUUGUUUUCCCUGUCAGUGGUACAGGUGGUUAGUCCCAGGCAGGGCAGGUGACUGUUUGUUGUUUUCCCUGUCAGUGGUACAGGUGGUUAGUCCCAGGCAGGGCAGGUGACUGUUUGUUGUUUUCCCUGUCAGUGGUACAGGUGGUUAGUCCCAGGCAGGGCAGGUGACUGUUUGUUGUUUUCCCUGUCAGUGGUACAGGUGGUUAGUCCCAGGCAGGGCAGGUGACUGUUUGUUGUUUUCCCUGUCAGUGGUACAGGUGGUUAGUCCCAGGCAGGGCAGGUGACUGUUUGUUGUUUUCCCUGUCAGUGGUACAGGUGGUUAGUCCCAGGCAGGGCAGGUGACUGUUUGUUGUUUUCCCUGUCAGUGGUACAGGUGGUUAGUCCCAGGCAGGGCAGGUGACUGUUUGUUGUUUUCCCUGUCAGUGGUACAGGUGGUUAGUCCCAGGCAGGGCAGGUGACUGUUUGUUGUUUUCCCUGUCAGUGGUACAGGUGGUUAGUCCCAGGCAGGGCAGGUGACUGUUUGUUGUUUUCCCUGUCAGUGGUACAGGUGGUUAGUCCCAGGCAGGGCAGGUGACUGUUUGUUGUUUUCCCUGUCAGUGGUACAGGUGGUUAGUCCCAGGCAGGGCAGGUGACUGUUUGUUGUUUUCCCUGUCAGUGGUACAGGUGGUUAGUCCCAGGCAGGGCAGGUGACUGUUUGUUG